rnacentral:rRNA from 2 species
CUUGCUCUCUUGGUGGCGAGCGCGGAGACGGGUGAGUAAUAUAUCGGAACGUGCCCAGUAGCGGGGGAUAACUACUCGAAAGAGUGGCUAAUACCGCAUACGCCCUACGGGGGAAAGGUCGGGAUUCUUCGGAACCUCUCACUAGUGGAGCGGCCGAUAUCGGAUUAGCUAGUUGGUGGGGUAAAGGCUCACCAAGGCAACGAUCCGUAGCUGGUUUGAGAGGACGACCAGCCACACUGGGACUGAGACACGGCCCAGACUCCUACGGGAGGCAGCAGUGGGGAAUUUUGGACAAUGGGGGAAACCCUGAUCCAGCCAUCCCGCGUGUAUGAUGAAGGCCUUCGGGUUGUAAAGUACUUUUGGCAGAGAAGAAAAGGUAUCUCCUAAUACGAGAUACUGCUGACGGUAUCUGCAGAAUAAGCACCGGCUAACUACGUGCCAGCAGCCGCGGUAAUACGUAGGGUGCAAGCGUUAAUCGGAAUUACUGGGCGUAAAGCGUGUGUAGGCGGUUCGGAAAGAAAGAUGUGAAAUCCCAGGGCUCAACCUUGGAACUGCAUUUUUAACUGCCGAGCUAGAGUAUGUCAGAGGGGGGUAGAAUUCCACGUGUAGCAGUGAAAUGCGUAGAUAUGUGGAGGAAUACCGAUGGCGAAGGCAGCCCCCUAGGGCUCAA